GUCAGGUCAUCAUGGCCCUUACGACCUGGGCUACACACGUGCUACAAUGGCUGGUACAGAGGGUUGCGAAGUCGCGAGGCGAAGCUAAUCCCUUAAAGCCAGUCGUAGUCCGGAUCGGAGUCUGCAACUCGACUCCGUGAAGUCGGAAUCGCUAGUAAUCGCGGAUCAGAAUGCCGCGGUGAAUACGUUCCCGGGCCUUGUACACACCGCCCGUCACACCAUGGGAGCUGGUCAUACCCAAUAUCGUUAGCCUAACCAUUCGGAGGGCGGCGCUUAAGGUAGGGCUAGUGACUGGGGUGAAGUCGUAACAAGGUAGCCGUACUGGAAGGUGCGGCUGGAUCACCUCCUU
rnacentral:rRNA from 12 species